rnacentral:rRNA from 1 species
GUCCACGCCGUAAACGAUGAUAACUAGCUGUCCGGGCACUUGGUGCUUGGGUGGCGCAGCUAACGCAUUAAGUUAUCCGCCUGGGGAGUACGGUCGCAAGAUUAAACUCAAAGGAAUUGACGGGGCCGUGCACAAGCGGUGGAGCAUGUGGUUUAAUUUCGAAGCAACGCGCAGAACCUUACCAGCGUUUGACAUCCCGCGCUAUCCUGAGAGAUCAGGGGUUCCUUCGGGACGCGGUGACAGGUGCUGCAUGGCUGUCGU